CUACGGGUGGCAGCAGUGAGGAAUAUUGCACAAUGGGGGGAACCCUGAUGCAGCAACGCCGCGUGGAGGAUGACGCAUUUCGGUGUGUAAACUCCUUUUAUAUGUCAAGAAAAUGACGGUAGCAUAUGAAUAAGCACCGGCUAACUCCGUGCCAGCAGCCGCGGUAAUACGGAGGGUGCAAGCGUUACUCGGAAUCACUGGCGUAAAGGACGCGUAGGCGGGUUGGAAAGUCAGGUGUGAAAUCCUACAGCUUAACUGUAGAACUGCACUUGAAACUUCUAAUCUAGAGUAUGGGAGGGGGAGAUGGAAUUAGUGGUGUAGGGGUAAAAUCCGUAGAUAUCACUAGGAAUACCUAAAGCGAAGGCGAUCUCCUGGAACAUUACUGACGCUGAGGCGUGAAAGCGUGGGGAGCAAACAGGAUUAGAUACCCGCGUAGUC
rnacentral:rRNA from 1 species